GUGGUGCCAAAACCCCCCAGCGGAAAAAUGGCCAAAAAACGGGUGGGCUAUAGCCUUGGUGGGGGGCGCGGGCGAAGUUCGUCCGCCGGACUCGGAAUGUGGCGAGACUUUGCGAGGGGCCUCGGGGUGCCAAAAAUAAGCCGCGGGCAAAGCCGAGCCCAAAAAUAAGCGCCCGAAGGUCGUGGUGCCAAAACCCCCCAGCGGAAAAAUGGCCAAAAAACAGGUGGGCUAUAGCCUUGGUGGGGGGCGCGGGCGAAGUUCGUCCGCCGGACUCGGAAUGGGGCGAGACUUUGCGAGGGGCCUCGGGGUGCCCAAAAUAAGCCGCGGGCAAAGCCGCGCCCAAAAAUAAGCGCCCAAAGGUCGUGGUGCCAAAACCCCCCAGCGGAAAAAUGGCCAAAAAACGGGUGGGCUAUAGCCUUGGUGGGGGGCGCGGGCGAAGUUCGUCCGCCGGACUCGGAAUCGGGCGAGACUUUGUGAGGAGCCUCGGGGUGCCCGCGGGAAGUCGCGGGCACAGCCGCGUCCAGAAAUAAGCGCCCGAAGGUCGUGGUGCCAAAACCCCCAGCGGAAAAAUGGCCAAAAAACGGGUGGGCUACAGCCUUGGUGGGGGGCGCGGGCGAACUUCGUCCGCCGGACUCGGAAUGGGGCGAGACUUUGCGAGGGGCCUCGGGGUGGCAAAAAUAAGCCGCGGGCAAAGCCGCGCCCAAAAAUAAGCGCCCAAAGGUCGUGGUGCCAAAACCCCCCAGCGGAAAAAUGGCCAAAAAACGGGUGGGCUAUAGCCUUGGUGGGGGGCGCGGGCGAAGUUCGUCCACCGGACUCGGAAUGGGGCGAGACUUUUCGAGGGGCCUGGGAGCAUCAAAAAUAAGCCGCGGGCAAAGCCGCACCCAAAAAUAAGCGCCCGAAGGUCGUGGUGCCAAAACUCCCAGCGGAAAAAUGGGCCAAAAACGGGUGUGGCUAUGGCCUUGGUGGGGGGCGCGGGCGAAGUUUGUCCGCCGGACUUGGAAUGGGGCGAGACUUUGCGAGGGGCCUCGGGGUGCCAAAAAUAAGCCGCGGGCAAAGCCGCGCCCAAAAAUAAGCGCCCAAAGGUCGUGGUGCCAAAACCCCCCAGCGGAAAAAUGGCCAAAACACGGGUGGGCUAUAGCCUUGGUGGGGGGCGCGGGCGAAGUUCGUCCGCCGGACUCGGAAUGGGGCGAGACUUUGCGAGGGGCCUUGGGGUGCCCGCGGGAAGUCGCGGGCACAGCCGCGUCCAAAAAGAAGCGCCCGAAGGUCGUGGUGCCAAAACCCCCCAGCGGAAAAAUGGCCAAAAAACGGGCGGGCUAUAGCCUUGGUGGGGGGCGCGGGCGAAGUUCGUCCGCCGGACUCGGAAUGGGGCGAGACUUUGCGAGGGGCCUCGGGGUACCAAAAAUAAGCCGCGGGCAAAGCCGCGCCCAAAAAUAAGCGCCCGAAGGUCGUGGUGCCAAAACCCCCCAGCGGAAAAAUGGCCAAAAAACGGGUGGGCUAUAGCCUUGGUGGGGGCCGCGGGCGAAGUUCGUCCGCCGGACUCGGAAUGGGGCGAGACUUUUCGAGGGGCCUCGGGGUACCAAAAAUAAGCCGCGGGCAAAGCCGCGCCCAAAAAUAAGCGCCCGAAGGUCAUGGUGCCAAAACCCCCCAGCGGAAAAAUGGCCAAAAAACGGGUGGGCUAUAGCCUUGGUGGGGGGCGCGGGCGAAGUUCGUCCGCCGGACUCAGAAUGGGGCGAGACUUUGCGAGGGGCCUCGGGGUANNNNNNNNNNNNNNNNNNNNNNNNNNNNNNNNNNNNNNNNNNNNNNNNNNNNNNNNNNNNNNNNNNNNNNNNNNNNNNNNNNNNNNNNNNNNNNNNNNNNNNNNNNNNNNNNNNNNNNNNNNNNNNNNNNNNNNNNNNNNNNNNNNNNNNNNNNNNNNNNNNNNNNNNNNNNNNNNNNNNNNNNNNNNNNNNNNNNNNNNNNNNNNNNNNNNNNNNNNNNNNNNNNNNNNNNNNNNNNNNNNNNNNNNNNCAGCGGAAAAAUGGCCAAAAAACGGGUGGGCUAUAGCCUUGGUGGGGGGCGCGGGCGAAGUUCGUCCGCUGGACUCGGAAUGGGGCGAGACUUUGCGAGGGGCCUAGGGGUGCCAGAAAUAAUCCGCGGGCAAAGCCGCGCCCAAAAAUAAGCGCCCGAAGGUCGUGGUGCCAAAACCCCCCAGCGGAAAAAUGGCCAAAAAACGGGUGGGCUAUAGCCUUGGUGGGGGGCGUGGGCGAAGUUCGUCCGCCGGACUCGGAAUGGGGCGAGACUUUGCGAGGGGCGUCGGGGUGCCCCCAGGAAGUCGCGGGCACAGCCGCGUCCAAAAAUAAGCGCCCGAAGGUCGUGGUGCCAAAACCCCCCAGCGGAAAAAUGGCCAAAAAACGGGUGGGCUAUAGCCUUGGUGGGGGGCGCGGGCGAAGUUCGUCCGCCGGACUCGGAAUGGGGCGAGACUUUGCGAGGGGCCUCGGGGUGCCAAAAAUAAGCCGCGGGCAAAGCCGCGCCCAAAAAUAAGCGCCCGAAGGUCGUGGUGCGAAAACCCCCCAGCGGAAAAAUGGCCAAAAAACGGGUGGGCUAUAGCCUUGGUGGGGGGCGCGGGCGAAGUUCGUCCGCCGGACUCGGAAUGGGGCGAGACUUUGCGAGGGGCCUCGGGGCGCCAAAAAUAAGCCGCGGGCAAAGCCGCGCCCAAAAAUAAGCGCCCGAAGGUCGUGGUGCCAAAACCCCCCAGCGGAAAAAUGGCCAAAAAACGGGUGGGCUAUAGCCUUGGUGGGGGGCGUGGGCGAAGUUCGUCCGCCGGACUCGGAAUGGGGCGAGACUUUGCGAGGGGCGUCGGGGUGCCCCCAGGAAGUCGCGGGCACAGCCGCGUCCAAAAAUAAGCGCCCGAAGGUCGUGGUGCCAAAACCCCCCAGCGGAAAAAUGGCCAAAAAACGGGUGGGCUAUAGCCUUGGUGGGGGGCGCGGGCGAAGUUCGUCCGCCGGACUCGGAAUGGGGCGAGACUUUGCGAGGGGACUCGGGGUGCACGCGGGAAGUUGCGGGCACAGCCGCGUCCAAAAAUAAGCGCCCGAAGGUCGUGGUGCCAAAACCCCCCAGCGGAAAAAUGGCCAAAAAACGGGUGGGCUAUAGCCUUGGUGGGGGGCGCGGGCGAAGUUCGUCCGCCGGACUCGGAAUGGGGCGAGACUUUGCGAGGGGCCUCGGGGUGCCAAAAAUAAGCCGCGGGCAAAGCCGCGCCCAAAAAUAAGCGCCCGAAGGUCGUGGUGCGAAAACCCCCCAGCGGAAAAAUGGCCAAAAAACGGGUGGGCUAUAGCCUUGGUGGGGGGCGCGGGCGAAGUUCGUCCGCCGGACUCGGAAUGGGGCGAGACUUUGCGAGGGGCCUCGGGGUGCCCGCGGGAAGUCGCGGGCACAGCCGCGUCCAAAAAUAAGCGCCCGAAGGUCGUGGUGCCAAAACCCCCAGCGGAAAAAUGGCCAAAAAACGGUUGGCUAUAGCCUUGGUGGGGGGCGCGGGCGAAGUUCGUCCGCCAGACUCGGAAUGGGGCGAGACUUUGCGAGGGGCCUCGGGGUGCCAAAAAUAAGGCGCGGGCAAAGCCGCGCCCAAAAAUAAGCGCCCAAAGGUCGUGUUGCCAAAACCCCCCAGCGGAAAAAUGGCCAAAAAACGGGUGGGCUAUAGCCUUGGUGGUGGGCGCGGGCGAAGUUCGUCCGCCGGACUCGGAAUGGGGCGAGACUUUGCGAGGGGCCUCGGGGUGCCCGCGGGAAGUCGCGGGGCUACCGUAACAAGUUUCCUAAAUGUAGAACUGGUGGUGCCAAACCCCCCAGCGGAAAAAUGGCCAAAAAACGGGUGGGCUAUAGCCUUGGUGGGGGGCCGCGGGCGAAGUUCGUCCGCCGGACUCGGAGUGGGGCGAGACUUUGCGAGGGGCCUCGGGGUGCCCGCGGGAAGUCGCGGGCACAGCCGCGUCCAAAAAUAAGCGCCCGAAGGUCGUGGUGCCAAAACCCCCAGCGGAAAAAUGGCCAAAAAACGGUUGGCUAUAGCCUUGGUGGGGGGCGCGGGCGAAGUUCGUCCGCCAGACUCGGAAUGGGGCGAGACUUUGCGAGGGUCCUUGGGGUGCCAAAAAUAAGCCGCGGGCAAAGCCGCGCCCAAAAAUAAGUGCCCGAAGGUCGUGGUGCCAAAACCCCCCAGCGGAAAAAUGGCCAAAAAACGGGUGGGCUAUAGCCUUGGUGGGGGGCGCGGGCGAAGUUUGUCCGCCGGACUCGAAAUGGGGCGAGACUUUGCGAGGGGCCUCGGGGCACCAAAAAUAAGGCGCGGGCAAAGCCGCGCCCAAAAAUAAGCGCCCGAAGGUCGUGAUGCCAAAACCCCCCAGCAGAAAAAUGGCCAAAAAACGGGUGGGCUAUAGCCUUGGUGGGGGGCGCGGGCGUAGUUCGUCCGCCGGACUCGGAAUGGGGCGAGACUUUGCGCGGAGCCUCGGGUCGCCAAAAAUAAGCCGCGGGCAAAGCUGCGCCCAAAAAUAAGCGCCCGAAGGUCGUGGUGCCAAAACCCCCCAGCGCAAAAAUGUCCAAAAAACGGGUGGGCUAUAGCCUUGGUGGGGGGCGCGGGCGAAGUUCGUCCGCCGGACUCGGAAUGGGGCGAGACUUUGCGCGGAGCCUCGGGGCGCCAAAAAUAAGCCGCGGGCAAAGCCGCGCCCAAAAAUAAGCGUCCGAAGGUCGUGGUGCCAAAACCCCCCAGCGGAAAAAUGGCCAAAAAACGGGUGGGCUAUAGCCUUGGUGGGGGGCGCGGGCGAAGUUCGUCCGCCGGACUCGGAAUGGGGCGAGACUUUGCGAGGGGCCUCGGGGUGCCCCCAGGAAGUCGCGGGCACAGCCGCGUCCAAAAAUAAGCGCCCGAAGGUCGUGGUGCCAAAACCCCCCAGCGGAAAAAUGGCCAAAAAACGGGUGGGCUAUAGCCUUGGUGGGGGGCGCGGGCGAAGUUCGUCCGCUGGACUCGGAAUGGGGCGAGACUUUGCGAGGGGCCUCGGGGUGCCAAAACUAAGCCGCGGGCAAAGCCGCGCCCAAAAAUAAGCGCCCGAUGGUCCUGGUGCCAAAACCCCCCAGCGGAAAAAUGGCCAAAAAACGGGUGGGCUAUAGCCUUGGUGGGGGGCGCGGGUGAAGUUCGUCUGCUGGACUCGGAAUGGGACGAGACUUUGCGAGGGGCCUCGGGGUGCCCGCGGGAAGUCGCGGGCACAGCCACAUCCAGAAAUAAGCGCCCGAAGGUCGUGGUGCCAAAACCCCCCAGCGGAAAAAUGGCCAAAAAACGGGUGGGCUAUAGCCUUGGUGGGGGGCGCGGGCGAAGUUCGUCCGCCGGACUCGGAAUGGGGCGAGACUUUGCGAGGGGACUCGGGGUGCACGCGGGAAGUUGCGGGCACAGCCGCGUCCAAAAAUAAGCGCCCGAAGGUCGUGGUGCCAAAACCCCCCAGCGGAAAAAUGGCCAAAAAACGGGUGGGCUAUAGCCUUGGUGGGGGGCGCGGGCGAAGUUCGUCCGCCGGACUUGGAAUGGGGCGAGACUUUGCGAGGGGCCUCGGGGUGCCAAAAAUAAGCCGCGGGCAAAGCCGCGCCCAAAAAUAAGCGCCCGAAGGUCGUGGUGCGAAAACCCCCCAGCGGAAAAAUGGCCAAAAAACGGGUGGGCUAUAGCCUUGGUGGGGGGCGCGGGCGAAGUUCGUCCGCCGGACUCGGAAUGGGGCGGGACUUUGCGAGGGGCCUCGGGGUGCCAAAAAUAAGCCGCGGGCAAAGCCGCGCCCGAAGGUCGUGGUGCGAAAACCCCCCAGCGGAAAAAUGGCCAAAAAACGGGUGGGCUAUAGCCUUGGUGGGGGGCGCGGGCGAAGUUCGUCCGCCGGACUCGGAAUGGGGCGAGACUUUGCGAGGGGACUCGGGGUGCCCGCGGGAAGUUGCGGGCACAGCCGCGUCCAAAAAUAAGCGCCCGAAGGUCGUGGUGCCAAAACCCCCCAGCGGAAAAAUGGCCAAAAAACGGGUGGGCUAUAGCCUUGGUGGGGGGCGCGGGCGAAGUUCGUCCGCCGGACUCGGAAUGGGGCGAGACUUUGCGAGGGGCCUCGGGGUGCCCCCAGGAAGUCGCGGGCACAGCCGCGUCCAAAAAUAAGCGCCCGAAGGUCGUGGUGCCAAAACCCGCCAGCGGAAAAAUGGCCAAAAAACGGGUGGGCUAUAGCCUUGGUGGGGGGCGCGGGCGAAGUUCGUCCGCCGGACUCGGAAUGGGGCGAGACUUUGCGAGGGGCCUCGGGGUGCCCGCGGGAAGUCGCGGGCACAGCCGCGUCCAAAAAUAAGCGCCCGAAGGUCAUGGUGCCAAAACCCCCAACGGAAAAAUGGCCAAAAAACGGGUUGGCUAUAGCCUUGGUGGGGGGCGCGGGCGAAGUUCGUCCGCCAGACUCGGAUGGGGCCGGGAUUUUGCGAGGGGCUUCGGGGUGCCAAAAAUAAGGCGCGGGCAAAGCCGCGCCCAAAAAUAAGCGCCCAAAGGUCGUGUUGCCAAAACCCCCCAGCGGAAAAAUGGCCAAAAAACGGGUGGGCUAUAGCCUUGGUGGGGGGCGCGGGCGAAGUUCGUCCGCCGGACUCGGAAUGGGGCGAGACUUUGCGAGGGGCCUUGGGGUGCCCGCGGGAAGUCGCGGGCACAGCCGCGUCCAAAAAUAAGCGCCCGAAGGUCGUGGUGCCAAAACCCCCCAGCGGAAAAAUGGCCAAAAAACGGGUGGGCUAUAGCCUUGGUGGGGGGCGCGGGCGAAGUUCGUCCGCCGGACUCGGAGUGGGGCGAGACUUUGCGAGGGGCCUCGGGGUGCCCGCGGGAAGUCGCGGGCACAGCCGCGUCCAAAAAUAAGCACCCGAAGGUCGUGGUGCCAAAACCCCCCAGCGGAAAAAUGGCCAAAAAACGGGUGGGCUAUAGCCUUGGUGGGGGGCGCGGGCGAAGUUCGUCCGCCGGACUUGGAAUGGGGCGAGACUUUGCGAGGGGCCUCGGGGUGCCCGCGGGAAGUCGCGGGCACAGCCGCGCCCAAAAAUAAGCACCCGAAGGUCGUGGUGCCAAAACCCCCCAGCGGAAAAAUGGCCAAAAAACGGGUGGGCUAUAGCCUUGGUGGGGGGCGCGGGCGAAGUUCGUCCGCCGGACUCGGAGUGGGGCGAGACUUUGCGAGGGGCCUCGGGGUGCCCGCGGGAAGUCGCGGGCACAGCCGCGUCCAAAAAUAAGCGCCCGAAGGUCGUGGUGCCAAAACCCCCAGCGGAAAAAUGGCCAAAAAACGGUUGGCUAUAGCCUUGGUGGGGGGCGCGGGCGAAGUUCGUCCGCCAGACUCGGAAUGGGGCGAGACUUUGCGAGGGUCCUUGGGGUGCCAAAAAUAAGCCGCGGGCAAAGCCGCGCCCAAAAAUAAGUGCCCGAAGGUCGUGGUGCCAAAACCCCCCAGCGGAAAAAUGGCCAAAAAACGGGUGGGCUAUAGCCUUGGUGGGGGGCGCGGGCGAAGUUUGUCCGCCGGACUCGAAAUGGGGCGAGACUUUGCGAGGGGCCUCGGGGCACCAAAAAUAAGGCGCGGGCAAAGCCGCGCCCAAAAAUAAGCGCCCGAAGGUCGUGGUGCCAAAACCCCCCAGCAGAAAAAUGGCCAAAAAACGGGUGGGCUAUAGCCUUGGUGGGGGGCGCGGGCGUAGUUCGUCCGCCGGACUCGGAAUGGGGCGAGACUUUGCGCGGAGCCUCGGGUCGCCAAAAAUAAGCCGCGGGCAAAGCUGCGCCCAAAAAUAAGCGCCCGAAGGUCGUGGUGCCAAAACCCCCCAGCGCAAAAAUGUCCAAAAAACGGGUGGGCUAUAGCCUUGGUGGGGGGCGCGGGCGAAGUUCGUCCGCCGGACUCGGAAUGGGGCGAGACUUUGCGAGGGGACUCGGGGUGCCCGCGGGAAGUUGCGGGCACAGCCGCGUCCAAAAAUAAGCGCCCGAAGGUCGUGGUGCCAAAACCCCCCAGCGGAAAAAUGGCCAAAAAACGGGUGGGCUAUAGCCUUGGUGGGGGGCGCGGGCGAAGUUCGUCCGCCGGACUCGGAAUGGGGCGAGACUUUGCGAGGGGCCUCGGGGUGCCCCCAGGAAGUCGCGGGCACAGCCGCGUCCAAAAAUAAGCGCCCGAAGGUCGUGGUGCCAAAACCCGCCAGCGGAAAAAUGGCCAAAAAACGGGUGGGCUAUAGCCUUGGUGGGGGGCGCGGGCGAAGUUCGUCCGCCGGACUCGGAAUGGGGCGAGACUUUGCGAGGGGCCUCGGGGUGCCCGCGGGAAGUCGCGGGCACAGCCGCGUCCAAAAAUAAGCGCCCGAAGGUCGUGGUGCCAAAACCCCCAGCGGAAAAAUGGCCAAAAAACGGUUGGCUAUAGCCUUGGUGGGGGGCGCGGGCGAAGUUCGUCCGCCAGACUCGGAAUGGGGCGAGACUUUGCGAGGGGCGUUGGGGUGCCAAAAAUAAGCCGCGGGCAAAGCCGCGCCCAAAAAUAAGUGCCCGAAGGUCGUGGUGCCAAAACCCCCCAGCGGAAAAAUGGCCAAAAAACGGGUGGGCUAUAGCCUUGGUGGGGGGCGCGGGCGAAGUUUGUCCGCUGGACUCGAAAUGGGGCGAGACUUUGCGAGGGGCCUCGGGGCACCAAAAAUAAGGCGCGGGCAAAGCCGCGCCCAAAAAUAAGCGCCCGAAGGUCGUGGUGCCAAAACCCCCCAGCAGAAAAAUGGCCAAAAAACGGGUGGGCUAUAGCCUUGGUGGGGGGCGCGGGCGUAGUUCGUCCGCCGGACUCGGAAUGGGGCGAGACUUUGCGAGGAGCCUCGGGUCGCCAAAAAUAAGCCGCGGGCAAAGCUGCGCCCAAAAAUAAGCGCCCGAAGGUCGUGGUGCCAAAACCCCCCAGCGCAAAAAUGUCCAAAAAACGGGUGGGCUAUAGCCUUGGUGGGGGGCGCGGGCGAAGUUCGUCCGCCGGACUCGGAAUGGGGCGAGACUUUGCGCGGAGCCUCGGGGCGCCAAAAAUAAGCCGCGGGCAAAGCCGCGCCCAAAAAUAAGCGUCCGAAGGUCGUGGUGCCAAAACCCCCCAGCGGAAAAAUGGCCAAAAAACGGGUGGGCUAUAGCCUUGGUGGGGGGCGCGGGCGAAGUUCGUCCGCCGGACUCGGAAUGGGGCGAGACUUUGCGAGGGGCCUCGGGGUGCCCCCAGGAAGUCGCGGGCACAGGCGCGUCCAAAAAUAAGCGCCCGAAGGUCGUGGUGCCAAAACCCCCCAGCGGAAAAAUGGCCAAAAAACGGGUGGGCUAUAGCCUUGGUGGGGGGCGCGGGCGAAGUUCGUCCGCUGGACUCGGAAUGGGGCGAGACUUUGCGAGGGGCCUCGGGGUGCCAAAACUAAGCCGCGGGCAAAGCCGCGCCCAAAAAUAAGCGCCCGAUGGUCCUGGUGCCAAAACCCCCCAGCGGAAAAAUGGCCAAAAAACGGGUGGGCUAUAGCCUUGGUGGGGGGCGCGGGUGAAGUUCGUCUGCUGGACUCGGAAUGGGACGAGACUUUGCGAGGGGCCUCGGGGUGCCCGCGGGAAGUCGCGGGCACAGCCACAUCCAGAAAUAAGCGCCCGAAGGUCGUGGUGCCAAAACCCCCCAGCGGAAAAAUGGCCAAAAAACGGGUGGGCUAUAGCCUUGGUGGGGGGCGCGGGCGAAGUUCGUCCGCCGGACUCGGAAUGGGGCGAGACUUUGCGAGGGGCCUCGGGGUGCCAAAAAUAAGCCGCGACCAAAGCCGCGCCCAAAAAUAAGCGCCCGAAGGUCGUGGUGCGAAAACCCCCCAGCGGAAAAAUGGCCAAAAAACGGGUGGGCUAUAGCCUUGGUGGGGGGCGCGGGCGAAGUUCGUCCGCCGGACUCGGAAUGGGGCGAGACUUUGCGAGGGGACUCGGGGUGCACGCGGGAAGUUGCGGGCACAGCCGCGUCCAAAAAUAAGCGCCCGAAGGUCGUGGUGCCAAAACCCCCCAGCGGAAAAAUGGCCAAAAAACCGGUGGGCUAUAGCCUUGGUGGGGGGCGCGGGCGAAGUUCGUCCGCCGGACUUGGAAUGGGGCGAGACUUUGCGAGGGGCCUCGGGGUGCCCCCAGGAAGUCGCGGGCACAGCCGCGUCCAAAAAUAAGCGCCCGAAGGUCGUGGUGCCAAAACCCCCCAGCGGAAAAAUGGCCAAAAAACGGGUGAGCGAUAGCCUUGGUGGGGGGCGCGGGCGAAGUUCGUCCGCUGGACUCGGAAUGGGGCGAGACUUUGCGAGGGGCCUCGGGGUGCCAAAAAUAAGCCGCGGGCAAAGCCGCGCCCAAAAAUAAGCGCCCGAAGGUCGUGGUGCCAAAACCCCCCAGCGGAAAAAUGGCCAAAAAACGGGUGGGCUAUCAGCCUUGGUGGGGGGCGCGGGCGAAGUUCGUCCGCCGGACUUGGAAUGGGGCGAGACUUUGCGAGGGGACUCGGGGUGCCCGCGGGAAGUUGCGGGCACAGCCGCGUCCAAAAAUAAGCGCCCGAAGGUCGUGCUGCCAAAACCCCCGAGCGGAAAAAUGGCCAAAAAACGGGUGGGCUAUAGCCUUGGUGGGGGGCGCGGGCGAAGUUCGUCCGCCGGACUCGGAAUGGGGCGAGACUUUGCGAGGGGCCUCGGGGUGCCCGCGGGAAGUCGCGGGCACAGCCGCAUCCAAAAAUAAGCGCCCGAAGGUCGUGGUGCCAAAACCCCCCAGCGGAAAAAUGGCCAAAAAACAGGUGGGCUAUAGCCUUGGUGGGGGGCGCGGGCGAAGUUCGUCCGCCGGACUCGGAAUGGGGCGAGACUUUGCGAGGUGCCUCGGGGUGCCAAAAAUAACCCGCGGGCAAAGCCGCGCCCGAAGGUCGUGGUGCCAAAACCCCCCAGCGGAAAAAUGGCCAAAAAACGGGUGGGCUAUAGCCUUGGUGAAGGUCGCGGGCGAAGUUCGUCCGCCGGACUCGGAAUGGGGCGAGACUUAGCGCGGGGCCUCGGGGCGCCAAAAAUAAGCCGCGGGCAAAGCCGCGCCCAAAAAUAAGCGCCCAAAGGUCGUGGUGCCAAAACCCCCCAGCGGAAAAAUGGCCAAAAAACGGGUGGGCUAUAUAGCCUUGGUGGGGGGCGCGGGCGAAGUUCGUCCGCCGGACUCGGAAUGGGGCGAGACUCUGCGAGGGGCCUCGGGGUGCCCGUGGGAAGUCGCGGGCGCAGCCGCGUCCAAAAAUAAGCGCCCGAAGGUCGUGGUGCCAAAACCCCCCAGCGGAAAAAUGGCCAAAAAACGGGUGGGCUAUAGCCUUGGUGGGGGGCGCGGGCGAAGUUCGUCCGCCGGACUCGGAAUGGGGCGAGCCUAUGCGAGGGGCCUCGGGGUACCAAAAAUAAUCCGUGGGCAAAGCCGCGCCCAAAAAUUAGCACCCGAAGGUCGUGGUGCCAAAACCCCCCAGCGGAAAAAUGGCCAAAAUACGGGUGGGCUAUAGCCUUGGUGGGGGGCGCGGGCGAAGUUCGUCCGCCGGACUCGGAAUGGGGCGAGACUUUGCCAGGGGCCUCGGGGUGCCCGCGGGAAGUCGCGGGCACAGCCGCGCCAAAAAAUAAGCGCCCGAAGGUCGUGGUGCCAAAACCCACCAGCGGAAAAAUGGCCAAAAAACGGGUGGGCUAUAGCCUUGGUGGGGAGCGCGGGCGAAGUUCGUCCGCCGGACUCGGAAUGGGGCGAGAAUUUGCGAGGGGCCUCGGGGUGCCAAAAAUAAGCCGCGGGUAAAGCCGCGCCCAAAAAUAAGCGCCCGAAGGUCGUGGUGCCAAAACCCCCCAGCGGAAAAAUGGCCAAAAAACGGGUGGGCUAUAGCCUUGGUGGGGGCGCGGGCGAAGUUCGUCCGCCGGACUCGGCAUGGGGCGAGACUUUGCACAGGGCCUCGGGGCGCCAUAAAUAAGCCGCGGGCAAAGCCGCGCCCAAAAAUAAGCGCCCGAAGGUCGUGGUGCCAAAACCCCCCAGCGGAAAAAUGGCCAAAAAACGGGUGGGCUAUAGCCUUGGUGGGGGGCGCGGGCGAAGUUCGUCCGCCGGACUCGGAAUGGGCCGAGACUUAUCGAGGUGCCUCGGGGUGCCAAAAAUAAGCCGCGGGCAAAGCCGCGCCCAAAAAUAAGCGCCCGAAGGUCGUGGUGCCAAAACCCCCCAGCGGAAAAAUGGCCAAAAAACGGGUGGGCUAUAGCCUUGGUGGGGGUCGCGGGCGAAGUUCGUCCGCCGGACUCGGAAUGGGGCGAGACUUAGCGCGGGGCCUCGGGGCGCCAAAAAUAAGCCGCGGGCAAAGCCGCGCCCAAAAAAAAGGGCCCGAAGGUCGUGGUGCCAAAACCCCCCAGCGGAAAAAUGGCCAAAAAACGGGUGGGCUAUAUAGCCUUGGUGGGGGGCGCGGGCGAAGUUCGUCCGCCGGACUCGGAAUGGGGCGAGACUUUGCGAGGGGCCUCGGGGUGCCCGCGGGAAGUCGCGGGCACAGCCGCGUCCAAAAAUAAGCGCCCGAAGGUCGUGGUGCCAAAACCCCCCAGCGGAAAAAUGGCCAAAAAACGGGUGGGCUAUAGCCUUGGUGGGGGGCGCGGGCGAAGUUCGUCCGCCGGACUCGGAAUGGGGCGAGCCAUUGCGAGGGGCCUCGGGGUACCAAAAAUAAGCGCCCGAAGGUCGUGCUGCCAAAACCCCCCAGCGGAAAAAUGGCCAAAAAACGGGUGGGCUAUAGCCUUGGUGGGGGGCGCGGGCGAAGUACGUCCGCCGGACUCGGAAUGGGGCGAGACUUUGCCAGGGGCCUCGGGGUGCCCGCGGGAAGUCGCGGGCAUAGCCGCGCCAAAAAAUAAGCGCCCGAAGGUCGUGGUGCCAAAACCCCCCAGCGGAAAAAUGGCCAAAAAACGGGUGGGCUAUAGCCUUGGUGGGGGGCGCGGGCGAAGUUCGUCCGCCGGACUCGGAAUGGGGCGAGAAUUUGCGAGGGGCCUCGGGGUGCCAAAAAUAAGCCGCGGGUAAAGCCGCGCCCUAAAAUAAGCGCCCGAAGGUCGUGGUCCAAAAACCCCCCAGCGGAAAAAUGGCCAAAAAACGGGUGGGCUAUAGCCUUGGUGGGGGGCAAGGGCGAAGUUCGUCUGCCGGACUUGGAAUGGGGCGAGACUUUGCGAGGGGACUCGGGGUGCCAAAAAUAAGCCGCGGGCAAUGCCGCGCCCAAAAAUAAGCGCCCGAAGGUCGUGGUGCCAAAAACCCCCAGCGGAAAAAUGGCCAAAAAACGGGUGGGCUAUAGCCUUGGUGGGGGGCAAGGGCGAAGUUCGUCUGCCGGACUUGGAAUGGGGCGAGACUUUGCGAGGGGCCUCGGGGUGCCAAAAAUAAGCCGCGGGCAAAGCCGCGCCCAAAAAUAAGCGCCCAAAGGUCGUGGUGCCAAAACCCCCCAGCGGAAAAAUGGCCAAAAAAUGGGUGGGCUAUAGCCUUGGUGGGGGGCGCGGGCGAAGUUCGUCCGCCGGACUCGGAAUGGGACGAGACAUUACGAGGGGCCUCGGGGCACCAAAAAUAAGCCGUGGGCAAUGCCGCGCCCAAAAAUAAGCGCCCGAAGGUCGUGGUGCCAAAACCCCCCAGCGGAAAAAUGGCCAAAAAACGGGUGGGCUAUAGCCUUGGUGGGGGGCGCGGGCGAAGUUCGUCCGCCGGACUCGGCAUGGGGCGAGACUUUGCACAGGGCCUCGGGGCGCCAAAAAUAAGCCGCGGGCAAAGCCGCGCCCAAAAAAAAGGGCCCGAAGGUCGUGGUGCCAAAACCCCCCAGCGGAAAAAUGGCCAAAAAACGGGUGGGCUAUAGCCUUGGUGGGGGGCGCGGGCGAAGUUCGUCCGCCGGACUCGGAAUGGGGCGAGAUUUUGCGAGGGGCCUCGGGGUGCCCGCGGGAAGUUGCGGGCACAGCCGCGUCCAAAAAUAAGCACCCGAAGGUCGUGGUGCAAAAACCCCCCAGCGGAAAAAUGGCCAAAAAACGGGUGGGCUAUAGCCUUGGUGGGGGGCGCGGGCGAAGUUCGUCCGCCGGACUCGGAAUGGGGCGAGACUUUGCGAGGGGCCUCGGGGUGCCCGUGGGAAGUCGCGGGCACAGCCGCAUCCAAAAAUAAGCGCCCGAAGGUCGUGGUGCCAAAACCCCCCAGCGGAAAAAUGGCCAAAAAACGGGUGGGCUAUAGCCUUGGUGGGGGGCGCGGGCGAAGUUCGUCCGCCGGACUCGGAAUGGGGCGAGACUUUGCGAGGGGCCUCGGGGUGCCAAAAAUAAGCCGCGGGCAAAGCCGCGCCCAAAAAUAAGCGCCCGAAGGUCGUGGUGCCAAAACCCCCCAGCGGAAAAAUGGCCAAAAAACGGGUGGGCUAUAGCCUUGGUGGGGGGCAAGGGCGAAGUUCGUCUGCCGGACUUGGAAUGGGGCGAGACUUUGCGAGGGGACUCGGGGUGCCAAAAAUAAGCCCGCGGGCAAAGCCGCGCCCAAAAAUAAGCGCCCAAAGGUCGUGGUGCCAAAACCCCCCCAGCGGAAAAAUGGCCAAAAAAACGGGUGGGCUAUAGCCUUGGUGGGGGGCAAGGGCGAAGUUCGUCUGCCGGACUUGGAAUGGGGCGAGACUUUGCGAGGGGCCUCGGGGUGCCAAAAAUAAGCCGCGGGCAAAGCCGCGCCCAAAAAUAAGCGCCCGAAGGUCGUGGUGCCAAAACCCCCCAGCGGAAAAAUGGCCAAAAAACGGGUGGGCUAUAGCCUUGGUGGGGGUCGCGGGCGAAGUUCGUCCGCCGGACUCGGAAUGGGGCGAGACUUAGCGCGGGGCCUCGGGGCGCCAAAAAUAAGCCGCGGGCAAAGCCGCGCCCAAAAAAAAGGGCCCGAAGGUCGUGGUGCCAAAACCCCCCAGCGGAAAAAUGGCCAAAAAACGGGUGGGCUAUAUAGCCUUGGUGGGGGGCGCGGGCGAAGUUCGUCCGCCGGACUCGGAAUGGGGCGAGACUUUGCGAGGGGCCUCGGGGUGCCCGCGGGAAGUCGCGGGCACAGCCGCGUCCAAAAAUAAGCGCCCGAAGGUCGUGGUGCCAAAACCCCCCAGCGGAAAAAUGGCCAAAAAACGGGUGGGCUAUAGCCUUGGUGGGGGGCGCGGGCGAAGUUCGUCCGCCGGACUCGGAAUGGGGCGAGCCAUUGCGAGGGGCCUCGGGGUACCAAAAAUAAGCCGCGGGCAAAGCCGCGCCCAAAAAUAAGCGCCCGAAGGUCGUGCUGCCAAAACCCCCCAGCGGAAAAAUGGCCAAAAAACGGGUGGGCUAUAGCCUUGGUGGGGGGCGCGGGCGAAGUACGUCCGCCGGACUCGGAAUGGGGCGAGACUUUGCCAGGGGCCUCGGGGUGCCCGCGGGAAGUCGCGGGCAUAGCCGCGCCANNNNNNNNNNNNNNNNNNNNNNNNNNNNNNNNNNNNNNNNNNNNNNNNNNNNNNNNNNNNNNNNNNNNNNNNNNNNNNNNNNNNNNNNNNNNNNNNNNNNNNNNNNNNNNNNNNNNNNNNNNNNNNNNNNNNNNNNNNNNNNNNNNNNNNNNNNNNNNNNNNNNNNNNNNNNNNNNNNNNNNNNNNNNNNNNNNNNNNNNNNNNNNNNNNNNNNNNNNNNNNNNNNNNNNNNNNNNNNNNNNNNNNNNNNNNNNNNNNNNNNNNNNNNNNNNNNNNNNNNNNNNNNNNNNNNNNNNNNNNNNNNNNNNNNNNNNNNNNNNNNNNNGGGGUGCCAAAAAUAAGCCGCGGGGCAAAGCCGCGCCCAAAAAUAAGCGCCCGAAAGGUCGUGGUGCCAAAACCCCCCAGCGGAAAAAUGGCCAAAAAACGGGUGGGCUAUAGCCUUGGUGGGGGGCAAGGGCGAAGUUCGUCUGCCGGACUUGGAAUGGGGCGAGACUAUGCGAGGGGCCUCGGGGUGCCAAAAAUAAGCCGCGGGCAAAGCCGCGCCCAAAAAUAAGCGCCCAAAGGUCGUGGUGCCAAAACCCCCCAGCGGAAAAAUGGCCAAAAAAUGGGUGGGCUAUAGCCUUGGUGGGGGGCGCGGGCGAAGUUCGUCCGCCGGACUCGGAAUGGGACGAGACAUUACGAGGGGCCUCGGGGCACCAAAAAUAAGCCGUGGGCAAUGCCGCGCCCAAAAAUAAGCGCCCGAAGGUCGUGGUGCCAAAACCCCCCAGCGGAAAAAUGGCCAAAAAACGGGUGGGCUAUAGCCUUGGUGGGGGGCGCGGGCGAAGUUCGUCCGCCGGACUCGGAAUGGGGCGAGACUUUGCGCGGGGCCUCGGGGUGCCAAAAAUAAGCCGCGGGCAAAGCCACGCCCAAAAAUAAGCGCCCGACGGUCGUGGUGCCAAAACCCCCCAGCGGAAAACUGGCCAAAAAACGGGUGGGCUAUAGCCUUGGUGGGGGGCGCGGGCGAAGUUCGUCCGCCGGACUCGGAAUGGGGCGAGACUUUGUGAGGGGCCUCGGGGCACCAAAAAUAAGCCGCGGGCAAAGCCGCGCCCAAAAAUAAGCGCCCGAAGGUCGUGGUGCCAAAACCCCCCAGCGAAAAAAUGGCCAAAAAACGGGUGGGCUAUAGCCUUGGUGAGGGACGCGGGUGAAGUUCGUCCGCCGGACUCGGCUUNNNNNNNNNNNNNNNNNNNNNNNNNNNNNNNNNNNNNNNNNNNNNNNNNNNNNNNNNNNNNNNNNNNNNNNNNNNNNNNNNNNNNNNNNNNNNNNNNNNNNNNNNNNNNNNNNNNNNNNNNNNNNNNNNNNNNNNNNNNNNNNNNNNNNNNNNNNNNNNNNNNNNNNNNNNNNNNNNNNNNNNNGGGGCGAGACUUUGCGAGGGGCCUCGGGGUGCCCACGGGAAGUCGCGGGCACAGCCGCGUCCAAAAAUAAGCGCCCGAAGGUCGCUGUGCCAAAACCCCCCAGCGGAAAAAUGGCCAAAAAACGGGUGGGCUAUAGCCUUGGUGGGGGGCGCGGGCGAAGUUCGUCCGCCGGACUCGGAAUGGGG
rnacentral:lncRNA from 1 species